UUUUAUACUGAAUACCCUAAAGGCCCCAGAUCUCAUCUGAUCUUGAAAGUUCAGCAGGGUCAGUACUGGUUAGUACCUAGAUGGGAGACUGUCAAUGUAUACCAGGUGCUGUAGGCU
rnacentral:rRNA from 1 species